rnacentral:rRNA from 1 species
AUGCCUAUCCUAUUACAUGACCGCCAUCCAAACCGGUUGAAGAUAUCCCGAGCUACCAUCUCCCAGCGGACAGACCCAGUAACCAAAUGCUCCCUGGCCUCCGUCUGGGUGAUUGGCGACCACGAACGAAUCAGUGCCGUAGUCCGGAAUAAAACCUGCAAAAAAUGUAUACAUGAUAUUCUGUUAAAAACCAAAUCAUUUCUGCAAUUCCAGAUAGUCCACAACAAAGCACAAGCCCCAACCCGAAUAUGUCUCGCUACGUUAGACUCAAUCCCAUUAAGCCAUGUCCCAAAGAACGCAUAA